ACGUAGGGCGCGAGCGUUGUCCGGAAUUAUUGGGCGUAAAGAGCUCGUAGGUGGCUUGUUGCGUCUGCCGUGAAAGCCCGUGGCUUAACUACGGGUCUGCGGUGGAUACGGGCAGGCUAGAGGCUGGUAGGGGCAAGCGGAAUUCCUGGUGUAGCGGUGAAAUGCGCAGAUAUCAGGAGGAACACCGGUGGCGAAGGCGGCUUGCUGGGCCAGUUCUGACGCUGAGGAGCGAAAGCGUGGGGAGCGAACAGG
rnacentral:rRNA from 1 species